UAAAAUGUUAAAUAGAAGCUUCUGACUCAAGAAUGAAAAAAAAAAAAUUCCCUGUUAGGGAACUUGGGCCAGGAUAGGGCUCCACAAAUACGUGCUGGGUCCACGGGGGCGUUAGAGGGCUCGAACUCCGGCUCCACCACGCAGGGAACGACUGAAGACCAACACUUCCCUGGAAAAAGUCAGACAUUUACAAACCGUCUGCUUGGAAAGGUCGACAUGGGGGUUGUGUCCGUGGCUCAGACCCGCGCAAGAGGCACCUCAUCUCCUAAGGGAAGGGGAGAGACAGGAGAGAGACGAAGGCAGAGGAGGAACUGGAAACAUGCUCACAUUUGAGAAGCAGGAGAAAGAAAAAGAUCCCAGCCGCAGGCCUGCAGAGGCAGACGCCACUGGUGUUCAUUCAGCCCCCCCCACGUCAGGCCACCUGCAGAUAACGUGUGGCCAGGGGUUACGGUUGAGCUGGUAGACAGAACUGACAACCAGACAGAGUUCCUGCCUCAUGGAGCUUGAGUUGAAUAGACGUGGGGGAGAUGUCCUGCUGGUCCUUUCGCCUCCUUCAGAUCUGCUGUGUCAGCGAGCUCGGCCACCCUCCUUGUGUCUGUGGGACACAAAGAAUGACCCUAAGGUCCUAGGGCUGUGGGAACCACGAGACAGAAGGGAUCCCCAUUCUUGAGUUGUGCGACUCGUCCCUCAGACGGUUCACGUGAGAGAGACACUUUUACUGUGUCGAGGCACUGCGAUUCGGGGUUUAUCUGUUACAGUAGUUGGUGCUGCGUCAUAACGUGGCGAGUGUUGGAAAAGCAAGAGGCGGAUGGUGAAGCCGAGGAGCAGAAGCAUGUUCUGGUCCCGAGGCCUGGCCUUGUGUGUCCUUCACACACCCCAGACAGGAAGAGGCUGUCUGGAGCGUCUUGGGAUCAGCAACCGGAGCGUCUUGGGAUCAGCAACCGUGGACUUGUUGGUAGCAAAUGCGUUUUUAUUUUAAAAGAUGAAGGAACUGAGGUGCGGAGCUCCCACAACUGGUAUCGAGAAGCCAGCCCAGGCCUGUACGACUCCGGAGCCUGCAAUUCUGACUGCUCUAGUAUAUUCCUUUGAUAGUUUAUUUGGAUCAGGCUGUUCUGAAUUAACUCUGGAAGUAAUA